UACGAAGGGGGCUAGCGUUGCUCGGAAUCACUGGGCGUAAAGCGCACGUAGGCGGAUUGCUAAGUCAGGGGUGAAAUCCUGGAGCUCAACUCCAGAACUGCCUUUGAUACUGGCGAUCUCGAGUCCGGGAGAGGUGAGUGGAACUGCGAGUGUAGAGGUGAAAUUCGUAGAUAUUCGCAAGAACACCAGUGGCGAAGGCGAGUCCCUGGACAACACCUGACACUGAGGCACGAAAGCUAGGGGAGCAAACAGG
rnacentral:rRNA from 1 species